rnacentral:lncRNA from 1 species
GCUUGCACGGGGUUUGCACGGUGUUUGCACGGGGCUUGCACCUGCUUUGCACGGGGGUUGCAUUGGGGUUUGCACGGGGCUUGCAUCUCCUUUGCACGGGGUUUGCAUCUCCUUUGCAUGGGGCUUGCACGGGGCUUGCAUCUCCUUUGCACGGGGCUUGCACGGGGCUUGCACGGUGUUUGCACGGGGCUUGCAUCUCCUUUGCACGGGGCUUGCACCUGCUUUGCACGGGGGUUGCAUUGGGGUUUGCACGGGGCUUGCAUCUCCUUUGCAUGGGGCUUGCACGGGGCUUGCAUGGGGGCUGCAUCUCCUUUGCACGGGGCUUGCACGAGGCUUGCACGGGGUUUGCACGGGGCUUGCAUGGGGGCUGCAUCUCCUUUGCACGGGGUUUGCACAGUGCUUGCACAGGGCUUGCAUCUCUUUUGCACGAGGCUUGUGUGGGGCUCGCACGGCGUUUGCAUGCCCUCGCUUGCAUCUCCUUUGCACGGGGUUUGCACAGGGCUUGCACCUUCUUUGCACGGCUCUUGCACCUGCUUUGCACGAGGCUUGCACAAGGUUUGCAGGAGGUGCACAGGGCUUGCACGGGGUUUGAACGGGGCUUGCAUCUCCUUUGCACGGGGUUUUCACAGGGCUUGCACCUGUUUGUGCAGAGUUUGCACGGGGCUUUCAUCUCCUUUGCAUGGGGCUUGCACAGGGCUUUGCACGGGGUUUGCACGGGGCUUUCAUCGGGCUUGCAAGCGCUUUGCACAGGGCUUGCACAAGGAGCUGUGCAGGGCUUGCACGAGGACUCACGUGUCCACAUGGGGCACUGCAGGGGGCGUGCACGGGGCCCCACAGGGCUUGCACGAGUGCUUGCACAAGUGCUUGCACAAGGGCUGCUGCUCCUCUGCUCCCUGGGGGGCACUUUGGGGGCUCCUGGGGGCAGUUUUGGGGCUGGGGGGGGCAGUCGGGGGUCCCGGGAGGAAGAGGCAUGUGUGCAAGGGCUGUGCACAGGUGUGCAAGGACUGCACAUGGGCGGGGCAUGCUCACACGAGGACCACGUCUUGCACGAGGACAUCUUGCACGAGGACCACAUCUUGCACGAGGACGCCUUGCAGAGCUCUCCUGGCACGAGGGCUGUCCCCCGUGCGUGCCCUCUUGCACACGCGUGUGGCAGGCGGAGCAGGCUCCCCACAGCCCCCCCCAGUCCCACCCCCCCC